rnacentral:rRNA from 1 species
GCCCGGUAGUGGGGGAUAACCUGGGGAAACCCAGGCUAAUACCGCAUACGUCCUACGGGAGAAAGCAGGGGAUCUUCGGACCUUGCGCUAUCGGAUGAGCCUAUGUCGGAUUAGCUUGUUGGUGAGGUAAUGGCUCACCAAGGCGACGAUCCGUAGCUGGUCUGAGAGGAUGAUCAGCCACAUCGGGACUGAGACACGGCCCGAACUCCUACGGGAGGCAGCAGUGGGGAAUAUUGGACAAUGGGCGAAAGCCUGAUCCAGCCAUGCCGCGUGUGUGAAGAAGGCUUUCGGGUUGUAAAGCACUUUCAGUGAGGAAGAAGGCCUUGGGGCUAAUACCCCCGAGGAAGGACAUCACUCACAGCGGG